rnacentral:rRNA from 1 species
GACGAACGCUGGCGGCGUGCUUAACACAUGCAAGUCGAACGGAAAGGCCCUGCUUUUGUGGGUGGCUGGGCGGACGACGGGGUAAUAAAACGGGACGUACCCGCCCUUGGCGUUUGGGGAACCUCAAGCAACUCGGGUUAAUCACACGAUCGAGGGCCUGCAGCCUGGGGGGGGGUGGGAAGGUUCGGCCGGUGGGGCUGGUACCGGGGCUUAUCGGCUUUGUGGUGGGGUAGUGGCUUACCCAGGCUGUGUAGGGUGGCCGGCCUGAGAAGGUGAACGGCGCCAAUGGGACUGAGAUACGGACCAGACGGCUACGGGAGGCAGCAGUCGAGAAUAUUGCACAAUGGGCGGAAGCGUGAUGCAGCAACGCCGGGGGCGGGAUGACGGUCUUCGGGUUGUAAACCGCUUCCGCCUGUGACGAAGCGUGAGUGACGGUAAUGGAUAAAGAAGCACCGGCUAACUACGUG